AGGCUGGGAAAAGACCAGCUAAAAAGAGAAAGGGAGGCAAGAAAAAGAACCCAGAGCCGGCACCUGAAGAUGAAGCAUAAGGAGCAUACAAAUGAU